rnacentral:rRNA from 1 species
UCAAGCGCGAAAAGGGCGUUUGGUGAAUGCCUUGGCAGUAAGAGGCGAUGAAGGACGUGAUACUCUGCGAUAAGUUAUGGGGAGCUGAGAAUAAGCUUUGAUCCAUAAAUUUCCGAAUGGGGCAAUCCACCUGAUAUUCUACUAUUGUUGCACUUCGGUGCAUUCAAUAGUCGGGUAAACCAGGUAUUUAUAACUUGAAUACAUAGGGUUAUAAAAGCAAACCCGGGGAACUGAAACAUCUAAGUACCCGGAGGAAAGGACAUCAAUUAGAUACUCCCCUAGUAGCGGCGAGCGAACGGGGAUCAGCCGAGCCAUGAGUGUGACUAGAAUGUGUUGGAAAGCACAACCAAAGUGGGUGACAGUCCCGUAUAGGAAGCAUGAUUGGACGUAUUAAGUAGGGCGGGACACGUGAAAUCCUGUUCGAAGAUCGGAGGACCACCUCCGAAGGCUAAGUACUCCUUACUGACCGAUAGUGAACCAGUACCGUGAGGGAAAGGUGAAAAGCACCCCGACGAGGGGAGUGAAACAGUUUCUGAAACCGGACGCCUACAAUCAGUCGGAGGCCCCUUGAGGGCUGACGGCGUACCUUUUGUAUAAUGGGUCAUCGACUUAGUGUAUCUAGCAAGCUUAAGCCGUUAGGUGUAGGCGCAGCGAAAGCGAGUCUUAAUAGGGCGAUUGAGUUAGAUGCAUUAGACCCGAAACCGAGUGAUCUAGGCAUGACCAGGCUGAAGGUGAGGUAACACUUACUGGAGGGCCGAACCCACACCUGUUGAAAAAGGUCGGGAUGAGUUGUGCCUAGGGGUGAAAGGCCAAUCAAACUCGGAGAUAGCUGGUUCUCCGCGAAAUCUAUUUAGGUAGAGCGUCAUCCGAAUACCCCGGGGGGUAGAGCACUGGAUGGGUAAUGGGGCCCCACAGGCUUACUGAUCCUAACCAAACUCCGAAUACCCGGGAGUAAUAGAUGGCAGACACACUGCGGGUGCUAACGCCCGUAGUGAAAAGGGAAACAACCCUGACCGACAGUUAAGGCCCCUAAUUCAUGGCUAAGUGGGAAAGCAGGUGGGACGACCAUAACAACCAGGAAGUUGGCUUAGAAGCAGCCAUCUUUUAAAGAUAGCGUAACAGCUCACUGGUCUAAUUAAGUUGUCCUGCGGCGAAGAUGUAACGGGGCUCAAGCCAUGAGCCGAAACUUCGGAUGCAUUUAUGCAUGGUAGCGGAGCGUAGUGUGACAUAGUUCCAUGCGUCUUUAACUUCCUUCGGGGAGUAUUGGACGCAAGGAGCUUUCUGUGAAGCCGGCCUGUGAGGGAUCCGGUGGAGAGAUCACUAGUGAGAAUGAUGACAUGAGGAACGACGAAGGGGGUGAGAGACCCCCUCGCCGAAAAUCCAAGGGUUCCUGCUUAAAGCUAAUCUGAGCAGGGUGAGCCGGCCCCUAAGCCGAGGGCGAAAGCCGUAGGCGAUGGGAACCAGGUUAAUAUUCCUGGGCCAGGAGGAAGUGACGGAUCAUGAAGAUUGUUGGAUCAGGCGUAGUUGCCCCAGCAGUUAAUUGGUUCCUGGAAAUAGCCCUCCAUCAGACCGUACCCUAAACCGACACAGGUGGAUAGGUAGAGUAUACCAAGGCGCUUGAGAGAACUAUGUUGAAGGAACUCGGCAAAAUACCUCCGUAAGUUCGCGAGAAGGAGGCCCGGUUUCUAGGCAACUGGAAGCUGGGGGCACAAACCAGGGGGUGGCGACUGUUUACUAAAAACACAGGGCUCUGCGAAGUCGCAAGACGACGUAUAGGGUCUGACGCCUGCCCGGUGCUGGAAGGUUAAAAGGAGUGGUGAGAGCCGCGAAUUGAAGCCCCAGUAAACGGCGGCCGUAACUAUAACGGUCCUAAGGUAGCGAAAUUCCUUGUCGGGUAAGUUCCGACCU